rnacentral:tRNA from 1 species
AAAAUUUUAAGUUAAUUAAAACUAUUAAUCUUCAAAGUUAAUAAUAAAUAUUUAUAUUUAAAUUUUA